rnacentral:lncRNA from 1 species
CUAGAGUAUGUGGACAUGACAAAUGAUAAGAAUGUAAUGUAAAGUCUUGAACAGUUAUGUUUAUGUAAUUAUGUUAUUGAGGAUAGAGUUGUGCUUGACCAUAGUAUAUGUUAAUCCCUUGGUAUGUACAUGAUCUUAUUUUAUGAUGUAUAUGUGAACCAACUCAACACAGGAUAUAUAUAUUGCCCAUUGAGGCUUUGAUGAAAUCCCACAGAGGGAUUAAUGUUUAUGUAUACGAUGAAUACAGUGCAUGCACAGGUUGAGUUUGGUGUAUGAAGAAAAAAAAAAAGUUUUUAAUUCAUAUGUAUGUUUGUUGAUCAUGUAUGGGAUUAAACAGGUAAACAGGAUGUAUGUAGGCUUGCUACGGGUUCCGGCGGCCUUAAGCCGACCUGAAUCCUAGCGCCGGUAGCGGUCCGGAUUUCCGGGGCGUUACAGUCAGAGCUAGCCUGAGGUGAGUAGAAUGACUCUUUAUGUUUCAAAGUAAAUAAUGAAAGUUUUAGCAUGAUUCACGCAUCAUGAAUGCCAUGAGAUAUAUUAGGAUGCUUGCAUUAGAACUCAUGAAUAUGUUGCAUUGCAUAUUAUGUUGUUGAUGUGGAUGAAUGUUGGAUGAUCCUCUAGCCUGCACUAUGAUAUGAUAUGAUAUGAGACAGUGAUGAUACGGUAUGGAAGACUAGUGAGGCCCAUUCUAUGCCCCUGGCACUAUGUAAGAGAAAGACCAGUGAGGCCCAUUCUACGCCCCUGGCAUGUUGGAAUGUUAUGUUAUGUUAAUGUAAGAGAAAGACCAGUGAGGCCCAUUCUACGCCUCUGGCACUAUUAGAAUGUGUAGUGGGCUAUUAGUGACAAGUUCAUCCUUGAUGUGAUUUGUCUGUAAUAUGAUGCAUUCCAUAAUAGCAUAUGUUUUAAAUAUUUUAUUAUUCUGCUCACUGGGCUCUAGUAGCUCACCCCAUUUCCCUUAAUCCCCCAGGUUUGCAGGUACGGGCUAGUCCAGGAGGUCAGCAGGAUUAGAAGCGUUUUAUGUAAUAGUUAGUUGUGGACAUGAGAAUAUUGUGAUGUAAUGUAUUGAAUAGUCAUGUAAUGUUAAGAAUUAUAUUGAGGAUAGAAUUGUGCUUGGCCCUAGUGUAUGUUAAUCCCUUUUUGG